CUCCUACGGGAGGCAGCAGUGGGGAAUCUUGCACAAUGGGCGAAAGCCUGAUGCAGCAACGCCGCGUGAGGGACGAAGGCUUUCUGAGUUGUAAACCUCUUUCAGCAGGGACGAUUGUGACGGUACCUGGCCAGAAGAAGCCCCGGCCAACUACGUGCCAGCAGCCGCGGUAAUUC
rnacentral:rRNA from 1 species